GGAAGGUUCCGAUCAGCCGACAGGAGAGAUGGUGGUCCCCGGUCUGGACCGUUCCGCCACUCCUUCUUCCGGUCCCAACUCUUCUCGGGGAUCACCGACCACCUGUUGGCCCAAGAGCCCAUCAGAGGUCUUCCCUUUUACCCUCUUCGAUCACUUUAAACUACCUGGUGACGACGACCGGUUUAAAGGGUACUCUCCCGAUCAGUUCUUGGUGGCCUAUGUUCGAGCUUAGACCCAGGUAAUUCCCUUUGUCAAUCUGAUUGCUGCUAUUAACUUUGACCUUUCCUUCUUGUACUGAUGUAUGUGUUUACUGCAAGCCAACGCUAUACUUGCCCUAGCCAUCCCUCCCCU
rnacentral:lncRNA from 1 species